rnacentral:lncRNA from 1 species
ACAGUAGUCUGCCUGCUGAGUAUCUUCUUCAAAUGAUAACCCCACAUUUUAAAAGCAGAAAUUAUUUUAAUCAAAGUUUUAUAACUGUAUAUUUUGGAGGGCUAAAAAAACAUGACCACAAAUAUGUCUUGUUAGAGAAUUAUGUCAUCUAGAGUCUAAAGCAUAAAUAUAAAUUAAUAAUACCCAAUCUUUUACUGGGUUCUAGAGCUAAGCUACUGUGCUAAGACUAUCUCAUAUUUUAUGCCACAUGAGUUUUCUGGCUGUAGCAGUAUUUCAUGCCAAAAUACCAA